rnacentral:rRNA from 1 species
UACGAAGGGGGCGAGCGUUGUUCGGAUUUACUGGGCGUAAAGGGCGCGCAGGCGGCGCAUUUUGUCAGGCGUGAAAGCCCCGGGCUUAACCUGGGAACUGCGUUUGAUACGGAUGGGCUAGAGUUCGGGAGAGGAGAGUGGAAUUCCCAGUGUAGAGGUGAAAUUCGUAGAUAUUCGGAGGAACACCAGUGGCGAAGGCGGCUCACUGGCUCGACACUGACGCUGAGGUGCGAAAGCGUGGGGAGCAAACAGG